rnacentral:rRNA from 1 species
UACGGGGGGAGCAAGCGUUGUUCGGAUUUACUGGGCGUAAAGGGCGCGUAGGCGGCGCAACAAGUCACUUGUGAAAUCUCCGGGCUUAACCCGGAGCGGUCAAGUGAUACUGUCGUGCUAGAGUGCGGAAGGGGCUACUGGAAUUCUCGGUGUAGCGGUGAAAUGCGUAGAUAUCGAGAGGAACACCUGGCGGCGAAGGCGGGUAGCUGGGCCGACACUGACGCUGAUGCGCGAAAGCGUGGGGAGCGAACAGG